rnacentral:rRNA from 1 species
GACGAACGCUGGCGGCGUGCUUAACACAUGCAAGUCGAACGGACAGACCCUGCUUUUGUUGGUUUCUCGAGUGGCGAACGGGUGUGUAACACGUGAGUAUCCUGCCCUUAUCUUUGGGAUAACUUCACGAAACUGGGGCUCUUACCCGAUAUGAUCUCCUGCUGCAUGUUGGUGGUUGGAAAGUUUCGGCGGUUGUGGAUGGACUCGCGGCUUAUCAGCUUGUUGGUGUGGUAGUGGCUUACGAAGGCUUUGACGGGUAGCCUGCCUGAGAGGGUGACCGGCGACAUUGGGACUGAGAGACGGACCAGAAGGCUACGGGAGGCAACAGGGGGGAAUAUUACGGAAUGGGGGGAAGCCAGAGGCAGAAACGCCGCGAGCGGGAUGACGGGUUUUGGGUGGUAAACAGAUGUGGAAGGAAACGAAGAGGGAGUGACGGUAACGGGUAAAGAAGCAACGGCUAACUACGUG